GUGUAAUAUGAGAUGUAAUAUGAACAAUAGUUUCACCUUCUACAUAAGCUAAUAAUUUACUAAUAUGCAACUAGAUCAAUAUGAUAUGUAUUUGGUGUGUUUGGCUUGAAGAAAUAAAAGGAAAAAAGAGGAGAAGAAAGGGGGAGAAGAGAAAGAAAUAAGAAGAAAAAAGAUGAAUUUCAUGUGAAAUUGACCUUUUUUUCCCUUAUUUUUGUGCCCCUCUUUGAUUUCAACUGCUCUUCCUCUCCUCUCAUUCCUUCGAACCAAUUAUGGGUCUUUCCAUUGCUUUCUACACCUCUCAUUUCAUCCAAUCAAAUAUGCAUUUAAGGUUUCGUAAAAAAUGUAUUGUUAUUUAAAAAUUAUAUAAAUGCAUCACAAAACUCACGAUGCCACUGCCAUAUCCUUAGUUUACCACCAAACGCCUGCGCAUUGAGCAACAUUGCAAUGAAAAUCAACUUUUGGAUAAGUAAAGCUAAGAGUUCAUUUAACUUACAUAAAUAAAAAUCAGCAGUACAUUGAAUUUGACUCCAGCUUUUGGAUACAUGAUUUUGGGUAUUGGUUUUGAUAUGUAAAGUUAAGAGUUCACUUCGAGGUUUCUCGUCUUUCUGGAGAAUUGAAAGGGUAAACGUGACGUGUAAAAAUUCUAUUUACAGUGUGUAAACGGUCAAGGACUUAAAUGUAACAAAUUAAAACAAGUGGGACUUAUGUGUUUUAAUUUUCAAAGCUUUGCCCCUUUUGAUUUUGUAGUAAACAAUGAGGACUCCAGCGUCAAUUACCCAAAGCUAGUUUUCAAAACCAGCGGAAUUUAACAACAGCCCCACUCAUGUGGACAGGUCCAAAAAAGUCAAAAAGAAAAAGUGGAAAAUGGAAAAUGAGAAAAGUUGAGGCGGAAACCGCGGAAAUCUUUAAUCAUUAAGACGCGUCCGCCGAAAGGCAAAAGUUACUCGAACCGUGCAAAGAAAUACCCACGAAAUUUCCCCACACAUGAUUUUUAGUUGAUGCUGUGUUUUUCGUCUUUCUUCAAUGCUCGGGAAGACGUGAAAGAAAAGUUGGUGGAAGAUGCAAUAAAGAAAAAUGUAUCCUUAGAAGUAGUUGAUGAUGCCGCUUUAUUCCACGUACUCGAAAAAUUGAGAGGACAUAAUAUUGUAUAUAGGAAUGAUUUAUAUGCAACCAUAAAAUAUUUUAAUCUUAAUUUAAGUCACUUAUAAAUAAUUAUAAUUUUGCUAAAAAUCAUAUAUGUUAUAUUUAGGGAGCCUGUAUUCACAUAGAAUUGUAAGAAAAUGAAGUAAAAAAUUGAGGAGAAUGUAAAUAUUUAUAGUGUGUUUACUUAUUAAGAAUGAAAAUAGGAAUUAAGGAAUGAAAAUGGGUCAUAUAUUUACUUGAUUAAAUACGAGGUGAAAUGAUAUUUAAAGUGGUGGGCUCUAUCUAUAAUUGAGAAUGAUUAUUAAAAUUUUCAUUUUUAUG
rnacentral:lncRNA from 1 species